CCAGGCUGAAGUGGCAAGGCAGCCUCUCUCCUUCUCUACUGGGACCUGUGAGGUAGGUCCUGAAGUUGCUUUCUGUGGCUCACAGAUAGUUAUUUGCAGAGAAGUUGUUAGAGAAAAUGGGAGAGUUAGUGCCUAGCUUCUCAGAUCGCCUUCUUCCCUGGGAAACUUUGUGAAAGCCUUGUAAGAGUCUGUGUGGAUGCUCUGGGUCUGCCCAUCCCAAGCAUCCACAGAUGUUUUCUCUUGGCACAGAUAAUAAGGAUCUAAGAUUAAAUGUUAACAUUUAAUAAUUAAUACUGUUCAGGCUCUCAAUCCCUUCUGUUGAAAGUUGGCACCGUGGCACAACCACUGGUGUGCUGGCAUUCUGUAACACUCAAUGUUCAUAUUCCCAGUCUCUUGUAAUAUCACAUCUGAGAUAAAUGCACUUUGAGCUUUUUUGGGAUGUCAUAAUCAUAUUUUUAAAAAACUGGACCAGAUGCUGGAAUCCGCUAAUACGUAGUUAGUGUCAUAUCUACACUUUAUAAAGACUGUAUCUGACCUACUUUCAAGCCUGGGUUUCCCUCCUUGAUUAAGCUACUCUCGAUAUACCCUCCUACAUCUCCUAGGCAAUUCCAAGCCCCAUCAACUUGACAACCAAGAUUGACCAGCAAAGAUGGUAAAUUAUAUGCUGUGUUUAUUUUACCACUGUGCUAUUCUGUCUUGGUUUUGUACAUGGGAAAACCCUGUUUUCCUUAAUCUCAUGUUUUAUUCUUUUUGUAUGUGAGUACACUGUCACUGUCUUCAGGCACACCGAAAGAGGGCAUCAGAUCUCAUUACAGAUGGUUGUGAGCUACCCUGUGGUUGCUGGGAAUUGAACUCAGGACCUCUGGAAGAGCAGUCAGUGCUCUUAACUGCUGAGCCAUCUCUCCAGCCCCCUUCCUAUGCUUUAUAGCAGGUUUUCACAGAAAUGAUGCUUUUAGCAUAUGAAGUAACCUAAAGGGAGAGCAUACACUUGCUCCUUCUUGAAGUUUUACACUGCAGAUUUAUCAAGCUACUUGAUGAAAAAUCAGAAUCAAUAGUGUAUUUACUUACUUCAGGGGACAGAGGAUGUGAGAGCUUAAGAACAUAGGAGUCUUCUUUCCCCCUACUAAUUAAAUACUUUAUUGAGCAAGUACAAUAGCAACAAAAUGCAUUCAAAUUUUCUCUAAAGAAAAAAAAUCACUUUUAAAGGCCUUUCUAGUCAGGCUAAUGACAAACACAAUAAAGGCAGAUAUGCUAGUUUAACAUAAUUGGCUGAUUUCAUACAGCACUUAUAUCUUUUACUCCACAAGUAUAUCAUUAAAUGAUAGAGAACAUCUAAUACAUCUAAUACAACUAUUUCUACAUAACUAGCCAAUGGAUUUCUAAGAAAAAAAGAUUUUACAGACCCCCGUCUUUUAUACCCACCCCAAUGGUCUAACUCUAAAGAGGAUAGAGCCAAUG
rnacentral:lncRNA from 1 species